UACGUAGGGUGCAAGCGUUAAUCGGAAUUACUGGGCGUAAAGCGUGCGCAGGCGGUUUUGUAAGACUGUCGUGAAAUCCCCGGGCUUAACCUGGGAAUGGCGAUGGUGACUGCAAGGCUAGAGUUUGGCAGAGGGGGGUGGAAUUCCGCGUGUAGCAGUGAAAUGCGUAGAGAUGCGGAGGAACACCGAUGGCGAAGGCAGCCCCCUGGGCUAACACUGACGCUCAGGCACGAAAGCGUGGGGAGCAAACAGG
rnacentral:rRNA from 1 species